CUCUCGAAAAAAAAAAGCCCUAACUCCACUCUCCACUUCGUAGCAUUUUCCCCUGCCCUGGGCUAACCUCAGCAUUGAAUCUUCCAUCCCAACUCAAAAAAAAAAAAAAAAAAAGUUUGAAUCAGUUUUUGUUCUUCCAAAAUGCUUGCAUAUCGAUUGGUCUUAAUAAAUCCAUUUGCACCAUUUUCUGGAACUAGAUUCUAAGUUACAGGAUAAUGAGAGACGUCGAUUUUUCAGUUGCCAAAACUUUGAGGUAUGUUAUUUAAUUGUUUGCUAAGAAGUUACUUUUUAAUCUUUGUCUAUUUUACUUUGUGAAAGAAAGUCUAUUUUACUUGCAUCUUUUUUCAAAAGCAAUAUGAUGCUUAUUCAUACCAAAAUAUGGUUUGUUUUCGGAAAAUCAUAUGGGUAAUCUUUGUUUGCUAAUAUGUGUUGGUUGAUUUUGCA